UACGGAGGAUCCGAGCGUUAUCCCGGAUUUAUUCGGGUUUAAAGGGUGCGGCAGGUUGUUUGAUAAGUCAGUGGUGAAAGUCUGUCGCUUAACGGUAGGAUUGCCAUUGAUACUGUUAGACUAGAAUAUGGAUGAGGUAGGCGGAAUGUGUAGUGUAGCGGUGAAAUGCAUAGAUAUUACACAGAACACCGAUUGCGAAGGCAGCUUACUAAUCCAUCAUUGACGCUGAGGCACGAAAGCGUGGGGAUCAAACAGGA
rnacentral:rRNA from 1 species